AAAAUUCUUGUUAUCCAUUUAUUAAUCUUUAGGAUGCUGCUCAUUUUAUUUUAUUUUCCAAGUAUGUCUUGUGGGUGUUUUGGGAAUCCUUAUGGUGGUCUUGGGGCGUGGUUCAGCCUUCUCCUUUGAAUAUUUGACCUUGUCUUCUAUUAGUGGAUAUUGUUCGGGUCUAGUUCGGUCGAGUUUAUGUUCUAAGAAUUACGAAUAUUUUUCUGUUGAUUGUUGCUAGAUGGCAUGAAAUCUCGAUGUAGAUUAACUUGACGUAAUAGGCUUCGAUCGAA
rnacentral:lncRNA from 1 species